rnacentral:rRNA from 1 species
CUACGGGGCGCUCCAGUGGGGAAUAUUGCACAAUGGAGGAAACUCUGAUGCAGCAACGCCGCGUGGAGGAUGACACUUUUCGGAGCGUAAACUCCUUUUAUAUGAGAAGAUAAUGACGGUAUCAUAUGAAUAAGCACCGGCUAACUCCGUGCCAGCAGCCGCGGUAAUACGGGGGGUGCAAGCGUUACUCGGAAUCACUGGGGGUAAAGAGCAUGUAGGCGGAUAGAAAAGUUGGAAGUGAAAUCCUGUGGCUUAACCAUAGAACUGCUUCCAAAACUCUCUAUCUAGAAUAUGGGAGAGGUAGAUGGAAUUUCUGGUGUAGGGGUAACAUCCGUAGAGAUCAGAAGGAAUACCGAUUGCGAAGGCGAUCUACUGGAACAUUAUUGACGCUGAGAUGCGAAAGCGUGGGGAGCAAACAGGAUUAGAUACCCCAGUAGUC